AUGUUGGCAGUUGUCUGCAAGAUUUAUGAUGGUGUUAAAGCUCUGGAAACAAAUGAAAAUGAUGGUUCUGUAAGUAAAAGUUCUGGUCUUCAUGGGCUUGGAACUUCCAUAGGGAGGCAUUUGGAUGGCCGUUUUCAAGUCAUUUGUCUUGAAAAUUUAAGUUGCAGAUCGUAUGUUCAGAUCUGGUGCUGUUGAUCUCAUCUGCGUUGAUUCUGUCUCAGCUCUUACUCCACGAGCUGAGAUUGAAGGGGAAAUUGGAAUGCAGCAGAUGGGUUUGCAAGCAGGUCUCAUGAGCCAAGCUCUGCGUAAAAUGUCUGGAAAUGCGUUCAAAAUU